AGGUACCGGGGUAAGAAGAAAUGGGAGAAAGCGACUGAGCGUAUGCUCAAGAAGAAAGCGCUGAGCUAACUGGAAGUGGAAUAAAAGGAGGAUAUGAAGCCAAGAGACGGAAUCGAUGAAAGUGAAAAGAAGAUUGGUCGGUUUUGCGUCGUCGUCUGGAUUUGUUAGUGUCCUGACAUUCCUUCCUCGCUGCCUUCAGGUUUUUAUUUGGUAUUGGCCUCCAUUAAAGAAGAAAGAAUGAUAAAAAAAUUAAAUCACCUGGUUGACAACCACGUUCGUGUCUUGGUGAGAAGGGGAAUCUCCAGGUUGUGGACUUCAGACUGACUGCUUUGCCUUUUGCGGAGGAUGUGGUUCUUCUGGUUCCACUGGACUGGCGGAAAUCAAUCAGAGUCAAUAGUAAAUUUUUUUUUUUUUUUUUAAUUAUUUUAUUUUUAAAACAAUAAA